AAAAUUCAAAAAUAUUUUCAUCCUUCUUUCGCAAAUUGAAAAGAAAAAAUUUAAGAUUCAAAAAUACUUUCUUUUUCUUAGAAGUACUUCUUUCCUAACUUUAGAAUAAAAAUCCAUAAAUGCAAAAAUAAUUUUCUUUCUUCUUUAGAAAUUUUUCUUUCAAAAUUCCAAAAAAGCAAUAAAAGUCGGAAAAAAAGAUAAAACAAUCUUUCUUCUUUAGGAGUCUCUCUUUGCAAAAGUGCUGGAGAAAAAUUAAAAUCUAAAAAUAUUCUCUUUCUUCUUUAUAAGUCUUUCUUUUGGAAAAAAAGUGAAAAAACAACAAAAUAUUAGCAAUCCAGAAAAAACAUAAAUUUUGUUUAUUUCCUCUAUUCAUUAUCUUCCCGAACUACACAAGAUCUGAUCCAUGCUGCAUUAUGAUACGUAGGCAACCCACAUUAGGUUCGAUCAACUAUGAAAAUGGAAAAUGAGAAAAAUGAAAAAACAAGGAAUAAGAAGAAAAAAAGGAAAAAAUAUUGAUAAUAAUAAGGACUGACUGAAUCAAUUCUACCAUGUCUGUUAUUUUGAAUUGUGAAGAAAGUUUGAGGUGGUCGGUUUGUGGUAAGCAGGCAACACAAGAUUCAAGGAAAAAUGAUAACUGAUGUCGAAACUGUUACAAGUGAUCGAGAGACUCAAGGUUAGAGGGUUCGCCAAGAGUCUACUGUGGUUGAGGAAAAUAGAAUACUGAAACAGCAAAUGACCAAAAUGUGUCAAGCAUGGGCCAAUGGCCAAGGAGAACCUUGUCGUGAGUCACAAUCUACUGCAUAGCAAGAGCACUACCACUCUCCUCAAUACUACUCAUACUCAUUUGAGCUUCCUGCAAACAUUGAGAAGCCUGCCCAAAAGAUGGUACAAAAAGAAAUGACCCAAAGAGGGAAAAUCUUAGAAUAACGGUUGAAAAACAUGCAAGGGUUGGCGGGUCAAAAGAGUGUUGCCUUCAAAGAUCUAUGUAUGUUCCCCGAUGUCCACUUGUCGCCUAGUUUUAAGACUCCUAAAUUUGAAAAGUAUGAUGGACAUGGAGACCCCAUAUCCCACCUCAGAAGGUAUUGCAAUCAGCUAAGAGGUGCGGGAAGAAAUGAAGAAUUGUUGAUAGCUUAUUUUGGGGAAAGCCUCAAUGUCCACUUGCCGCCUGGUUUCAAGACUCCCAAAUUUUAAAGUAUGGUGGACAUGGAGACCCCAUAGCCCACCUGGAAAGUUAUUGCAAUCAUCUAAGAGGUGCAGGAAAAAAAUGAAGAAUUGCAGAUAGCUUAUUUUGGGGAAAGCCUCACGGGAGUAGCAUCCGAAUGGUUUUUGGAUCAAGACACAUCUCGCUGAUACGUCUGGGAUGAGAUGACACAGGUAUUUAUCAAAUAGUUCCAAUACAACAUUGACAUUACCCCAGACCCCAAUUCCCUUUCAAACCUGAAGAAGAAACCAAGUGAAAGUUUCAGGGAAUAUGCAAUUAAAUGUAGAGAACAGGCAGCUAGAAUUAAGCCACCCAUGGAUCACUACGAGCUAAUCACUGUUUUUCUUCAGGCUCAAGAGCCGGAUUAUUUUCAAAACAUAAUAUCCGCUGUGGGUAAAUCCUUCUCAAAUGUAAUCAAAAUGGGAGAAAUGGUUGAAAAUGGUCUUAAGACAGGCAAAAUUAUAAGUCAAGCAGUUCUCAAAGCCCCAACGCAGGUUGACCAGAUUGAAUCAUAUAAUUUUGGUAAUUUUGGUGACCCGAAUGAGAAAGUUGAAGAAAUUAUGAUGACAUCAGGGUCAAGAAGAGGUCCCAAGAGAACAUCUCAAAGGUAUGAUCAACCUCCUUAGGUUUUCCAUUACUUCCCUGAGCAAUAUUAUCCACCUCAAAAUCCUUAAUACUCUGUUGUUGCACCUCAGAAUGAUGCUCGACCACCAAGACACCCUAGAAGGUGAGCACGAGCACAACAAAGUCUCUACCAGCCUUUACAAAAUUUUCAAGUUCCUUAUGAUCCACAUCCAAGCAAGGGGUACAGAAGGGAACAAAGGUCGAAGGAUAAUUUUACACCAACAGGAGAGUCAUAUGCAAGAUUACUUUCGAAGUUAACGCAUUAUGCCACGAUUGCACCCAUUGCUACAAAUCAUGUGGACCCAAGUGCAAGAAGCUUUGACCCUUCCAAAAGGUGUGAAUACCAUUCCAAUGCCUAGUGGCACAAUAUUUAAUGUUGCCAGGAUUUGAAAAGAGAAAUAGAAAGGAUGAUCCAGGAAAACCUGAUUGUGAUCCAAGAGAGUAAUACCAGAAUAUCACACAGAAUCCUUUACCUGCACAUGAUGAUGCACACUUUAUGGGGAUGAUUCCUGGUGACAUGGAGUAUGAGAAUCCUCUCGGAAACUUGUCUACACAAAUUGAAGAAGGCCAUGCUAAUUCUGAUGAGAAAUUUUGAGGCUAAAUGUCAAGCUUAGCAAUUGAAAAGUCAUUCACUCCUAACUAGGAAUGAAUCUUGGUAGCUUGUUUUGAUGUUUUUCUAUUAUCUAGGUAAUUUUAGGAUUGUGAUCCAGAUUUUAUUUGUCUUAUUGAGUCAAACCCUUCUAUCUUGUUUGUAUGAGUCAUGUUUGUCUGUUUUGUUGCUAUUUUUAUUAUCUGGUUAUUUUAAGUUCGUAACUCGGAUCUUAGGUUGUUUGUCUUGUUGCCAAAUGCUUUCAUCCUUUACUCAAUAAAAUAAAAAUUUGUCCUUUUGUGUCAUUUUGUUCUUAGUUCUUUUUGUGCUAGUUCUAAUAACAUGACAUGUAUGCGGGAAUUUUUGCCAGAUCUUAGAAACUUAUUUAAUCCGGAAUUGGAUAACUGAAAAAAAGAAGCACUUUUGUGGAUGAAAAAAGAGUUGAAAUACUUGGGAAUUAAGGUCGAGUAAAAGUAACCUUCAAAUUAUUGCGAAGAUCGGGCUUGAGGAAGAAUCAAUUGAAGGUUGUUGAAAAGUUUGACAUUAAUGGAUGGAAAGUGUCUUGUGAGCACGACACACCAAAAAGAUAGGCAUGUUCAUCAAUGCCGUGAUUGCGAAAGUAUUCUAUGUUUGGCGUUCCUGAGGCUAGGACACUCUUUUUCUACUAUAAAAAAACUUUAUAUCCUUCGCUACCCCUUUUAAGACUGUGUUAUUUUCUUUGACUACCCUCUUUUGGAAUCAAGUUUAGAGUCAAAAAACAAAAAAAUGAAAAAAAGAAAUAGAAAAAUCAAAAAAAAAGAGGACGAAAAGAAUUAUCAAAAGUCCAAGCCCUCAAAAAAUAGAAGCUGGGCCAAAAAAAAAAAAGAAGAAAAAACGCAAAAAAAAAAAAAACCAAAAAAAAAAAAAAAAAUAAAAAUUUUAAGACUGUGUUAUUUUCUUUGACUACCCUCUUUUGGAAUCAAGUUUAGAGUCAAAAAACAAAAAAAUGAAAAAAAGAAAUAGAAAAAUCAAAAAAAAAGAGGACGAAAAGAAUUAUCAAAAGUCCAAGCCCUCAAAAAAUAGAAGCUGGGCCAAAAAAAAAAAAGAAGAAAAAACGCAAAAAAAAAAAAAACCAAAAAAAGAAAAAAAAAUGAAAAGAGAAACGGAAAGAAAGAUGAAAAAUAGUCUGGGUUAGAUGUUUGAACUACGUUCGACCUGAUUCCUUUUAAGGAUACAUAUGCAGCCUCACGGUUCAGUCCAACCAAAUAAGAAAUUAAAAAAGAGAGAAAUGUUCCAAAAAUCCCCAACGGUUGAAACAGGGGCAAAGGCUUUGUUUCACUUUUGAAGAGUCGAUUCCAAGAGUGGUAAGUCCACAACCCCUCACUUUGAGUCAACUUUGAGCCGUCAUGCCGAUCCUUUCUCCUUGCACAUAGGCAAAAACCUUCCAAAUAAAGACCUCCCGAUCAGCUUUUAUGAAUGCCAAGAAAAGCAGGCAAUGAGCAACUGUUGUCAUGCGACAUAGAACACUGUCAAGUUGCUCACAAAACAAAGAAGGGGAAAGAAAAAGAAAAAGCAAAAGAAAAAUAAAAAAAUAAAAAUGAGAGUCUUAUUAGUGAAAACCCUCACGGGCACUUUAAGAUGACGGUAAGUAGAGAUGAAUAAAUGAGAGUGGCUUGUUGGUGAAAACCCCUCGGGCACCACUAGUCGAAAGUGAGGCAUGAAGCUGAUGCAAAGGAUUGGCAUGAACAAGCCCGACUUCAAAGAUCAUAAAAAUGGUAAAAGGUAAGAUUGGAUUAGUUUUCAUAGAACCUUACCUAUAAAGGCAUCAUGACUUUACAUUCAAGUUAGAUUUUGAAGAAAAGGAAGAGAUAGAAAUUUGAAAAAAUUAAAACGACUGCUUUUCCUUGAAAAAAUUAUGAAACAAUCCUGAAUUCCUUGCAGUUUCUAAGAAUUAUUGCACAUUCUGCUUGGUUUGGUCCUUUGAUCCUAAUAUCCUAGAAACAAAUCAACUUAAAACUCUAAAAAUAACUAAACUGAUUUCCUCUGCAUUUUAUUUAUUGAAAACUGCUCAAAAGGUCUGUUAAGUGUUGGUUCUCUGAUCUUCCUCAUUAGCUAAAAUUUCUAAGAAGUUUCAAAUUCUGCACCCGGUAAAGAUGGGUUGAUUCUGAGGUUUUCAGAAGUUGGUUUUGAGCUACUUCAAGGAUUACUAUUUCAUUGCUUUGCUGGGUUGGCUGUUUACUGCUGAUUCUCCAUCUUUUCUAUUUCUCUUUCUAUUUCCAGGUAUUGCCUCGAACCAUUGAAUGGCCAAAUAAAGCUGGGAAUGUUUUUGUUGUGUAUGAACAAAAUAGGUAGUUUGCUUUCAAGCAUGAUUUUUAUUCUUUCAGUUCUGAAAAUGUUCAAAACUUCAUAGGUUGCUUUGGUUUUUCUUUCAGUAGUUAAGAAUGUCAGUAUAUUCUUGUAUUUCAAGUAAGAAGUGUAUUGACCCCUAAGUUCGUUACUAUGGAUUAUGGGAAGGGGUCUGGUUGUGUUUAAGUUUUACAUUGCUUAUUUAUGAGUCUGACUUAAAAUUAAAUGCAAGCAUGAGCAUAUGUUUGAUUGAUUACGGAGUUUAAGAAUGUUUGUAAGUUGAGCCAAGAGUCUAUAAAGCCUUUUGUGUUGGUAUGGGCUCGAAGUGGACUCCUGCUACUUGCAAGUUCCGAACCCGUUAAACCUUGGAUCUUGAGGUCUUUUUGCAUAGGAAAAUGGCUUGUGGUAGCUAUCUGGGCUUGUUCUUUGAACCCGUGUAGUUCAUUCGUUUGGUUUUGUUGGAUUUUCUUUUCGUAAGAAGGUUUGAUUAAUAUGUGCAAGAUGAAAAUAAAAAAUGUAGUUACUCAAUUGGUGUCAGUUAAGGAUAAAAAAUUAAAACGUUAGUUCAGUCUCGUGUAUUUUUUAAUUUUUGAUCAAAUUUGGAGCUAAAUGAUUUGGGCUUAAAUGUUGGUUUUUGAGAUUUGAGGCAUAAUAUUGGCCUAGUUUGAUGAAAGUCAAGGCCAGCUAAGUCUACCUGGGAUACGUCCUUGGACAGUCAUUUUCCCUUAAGAAAUUGGGCUCUCCUUUAGGCCAAAACCUAAAGGCACCUAUGAAUGGGAUUUGGGGCCCAUUUCGCCCUUGUUGAACUUUGUUUGUCCAGUGAUUAUCUGUGCUAGCACAAACUCGCCUAGUCAGAAAAUUUCUCUCUAUGUAAG
rnacentral:lncRNA from 1 species